CCCUUAGAUGUUCUGGGCCGCACGCGCGCUACACUGACGAAUGCAACGAGCUUAUAACCUUGGCCGAAAGGUCUGGGUAAUCUCCAAAUUUCGUCGUGAUGGGGAUAGAUUAUUGCAAUUAUUAAUCUUCAACGAGGAAUGCCUAGUAAGCGCAAGUCAUCAGCUUGCGUUGAUUACGUCCCUGCCCUUUGUACACACCGCCCGUCGCUCCUACCGAUUGAAUGGUCCGGUGAAGCGCUCGGACCGCGGCCUCUUGACGGUUCGCUGUCGAUUGGCUGUGGAAAGUUCGUUAAACCUUAUCAUUUAGAGGAAGGAGAAGUCGUAACA
rnacentral:rRNA from 1 species